CUGGGAGCCACAAGAUUUGAGGUGGCGGGACCUGUCAGCAGAAUGUGUCCUCCCCCUGCGUGCAACUUUGAGGCCACCGAGAUGAGUUCCACGGCCUGGCCCUCGCGAGCACCCACAUCUCAUUAGCCAGGAGUCCGCCAGGUGCCAUGGUGUGCUAGCCCCAAAGAGCCGCCCGUGACCUCAGGUCUCCAUAGACCCGGGAUUUGUACAGCAGCAGAGUCACCGUGGAGAGGCCAGGGUACCACAAACUUAUGGAUUUUGACAAGAAAGGAGGGAAAGGGGAGUCGGAGGAGGGCCGGAGAAUGUCCAAGGCCGGUGGCCGGACCAGCCACAGCGUCCGGAACUCGGGGACCAGUUCGGGGGUCCUGAUGGUGGGCCCCAACUUCCGGGUCGGGAAGAAGAUAGGCUGUGGCAACUUCGGGGAGCUCCGGCUAGGAAAGAAUCUCUAUACAAAUGAAUACGUAGCUAUCAAAUUGGAGCCCAUCAAGUCGAGGGCACCGCAGCUGCACCUGGAAUACCGCUUCUACAAGCAGCUCAGCUCCACAGAGGGUGUCCCUCAGGUCUACUACUUUGGCCCGUGCGGGAAGUACAACGCCAUGGUGCUGGAGCUGCUCGGGCCCAGCCUGGAGGACCUAUUCGAUCUGUGUGACCGCACAUUCACGCUCAAGACUGUGCUCAUGAUCGCCAUCCAGCUGAUCACGCGCAUGGAGUAUGUGCACACCAAGAGCCUCAUCUACCGCGAUGUGAAGCCCGAGAACUUCCUGGUGGGGCGGCCGGGCAGCAAGCGGCAGCAUGCCAUCCACAUCAUCGACUUUGGCCUGGCCAAGGAGUACAUCGACCCGGAGACCAAGAAGCACAUCCCCUACCGCGAGCACAAGAGCCUGACGGGCACAGCGCGCUACAUGAGCAUCAAUACACACCUGGGCAAGGAGCAGAGCCGCCGUGACGAUCUGGAGGCGCUAGGCCACAUGUUCAUGUACUUCCUGCGUGGCAGUCUGCCCUGGCAGGGGCUCAAGGCGGACACGCUCAAGGAGCGCUACCAGAAGAUCGGGGACACCAAGCGGGCCACGCCCAUUGAGGUGCUCUGCGAGAGCCACCCAGCCCUGCUGGGCUCUUCUCAGAGGAGAUGGCCACAUACCUGCGCUAUGUGCGGCGCCUGGACUUCUUCGAGAAGCCUGACUACGACUACUUGCGCAAGCUCUUCACAGACCUCUUCGACCGCAGCGGCUUUGUGUUUGACUACGAGUACGACUGGCGGGGAAGCCCCUGCCUACGCCCAUUGGCACAGUUCACACCGACCUGCCUGGGCAUACUCAGCCUAGGGAUAAAGCCCAGCUAUACAGCAAAAACCAGGCACUGAAUUCCACCAAUGGGGAGCUGAAUGCUGACGAUCCCACUGCCGGUCACUCUAACGCCCCCAUCACAGCGCCUGCAGAGGUAGAGGUGGCAGAUGACACCAAGUGCUGCUGUUUCUUCAAGAGGAGAAAGAGGAAAUCACUGCAGAGGCACAAGUGACCCUGGCGGUGGUUCCCACACCCUCCGCUGCAGCUCCUGGAGGAGCUCGUCUGGAUGGCCCACAGCCAAGACAUAGACUGUGGCCCGGAGCUGCUCACCCCUCGUGGGUUACUUCCUUCACAUAAGACUUUGGCCGAAAUUUCUACACCUGUGUCUAGUCCUCCCUUCCAAGAGCAUUAACUAUUUAAAACAAGGAAAAGAAAACACAACGGCCGUCUGCCCUGCGCCCCUUCGCCAUGUCUGCUGAAGUGAGUAGUGUGACCUGGAGGCCCCGGCCACCGCGCCGUCCAGCUUGCCUGCCCCAUUAGUGUCAUAAAGUCUAGCUCGUCUCCCUCUAUCCAAAGGCCAUUUUCUCGAGGGGGCGCUGUGGGGCAUUGCUGCCAGGGGUGAGCCCGCUCUGGGCCUCCCCAAACCAAAGGGGAAGGCGCGGUGGGAGCGGCACCCCAACCAAAAUGCUGCACCAAAGCUUGGACGGUGUGGCCCACAGGUGUUCUGCUGCACCUGCUCCUGGAGCCUGGGGCGGCCACCGGUGUGGCCACUUAGGCCAGGGCUGUGCCCGGUGUGAGGGCCUCUUGUGUCUGUGCCCAGUGUCACUGAGCCGCAGGAAACAAGCGCCUUAGAGCCCCGUCUCAGCCCACAGGUGCGGCCGAGGCCAGGCAGUCAGUCGGGCGGGCGGAGCCGCUGGGGCAUUGGCGGAGGUGUGUGCAUCUAGGUGUUGCUUUACAAAGUGUACAGAAAUGGCACUUCUGUUUCUCUGAUGCUUCCUGGAAGCCAUAGAACUUAGGGGCUUUUUUAAAAAAAUAAAGGAAAAUGAAACCA